AAAGCUGUGUAAAAAAGAUAAACUGUCUUGUCUUCAUCGAAGACUUCGUCAGUUUCCUAUUUUUACUUUGCUUU
rnacentral:ncRNA from 1 species